rnacentral:rRNA from 1 species
AUUGAACGCUGGCGGAAUGCUUUACACAUGCAAGUCGAGCGGCAGCGCGGCCUUCGGGCUGGCGGCGAGCGGCGAACGGGUGAGUAAUGCAUCGGAACAUGCCCAGUCGUGGGGGAUAACACUUCGAAAGAAGUGCUAAUACCGCAUACGUCCUGAGGGGGCAAGCGGGGGAUCGCAAGACCUCGCGCGAUUUGAGUGGCCGAUGUCAGAUUAGCUAGUUGGUGGGGUAAAGGCCUACCAAGGCGACGAUCUGUAGCUGGUCUGAGAGGAUGAUCAGCCACACUGGGACUGAGACACGGCCCAGACUCCUACGGGAGGCAGCAGUGGGGAAUUUUGGACAAUGGGGGCAACCCUGAUCCAGCCAUUCCGCGUGAGUGAAGAAGGCCUUCGGGUUGUAAAGCUCUUUCGGCAGGAACGAAACGGUGGGCUCUAACAUAGUCCGCUAAUGACGGUACCUGAAGAAGAAGCACCGGCUAACUACGUG